rnacentral:SRP_RNA from 1 species
GCUGGGCACAAUGGUGCUCACCUGUAAUCCCAGCUACUCAGGAGGCUGAGGCAAGAGAAUUACAAGGUCAGCCUGAACAAUUUAGUGAGACCCUGUCUCAA